CACGUAGGGGGCAAGCGUUGUCCGGAUUUAUUGGGCGUAAAGAGCUCGUAGGCGGCUCUGUAAGUCGGGUGUGAAACCUCCAGGCUCAACCUGGAGACGCCACCCGAUACUGCUGUGGCUUGAGUCCGGUAGGGGAGCGUGGAAUUCCUGGUGUAGCGGUGAAAUGCGCAGAUAUCAGGAGGAACACCAGCGGCGAAGGCGGCGCUCUGGGCCGGAACUGACGCUGAGGAGCGAAAGCCAGGGGAGCAAACGGG
rnacentral:rRNA from 1 species